AUGGUGGGGAUGGGUUGACUGCUGGACUGGGUGAUCUUAGUGGUCUUUCCAAACCUUAAUGAUUCUAUGGAAAUUGAUUCAAAAGCAUUGGGCCAUGCCUGAAAGUGAUGGUGCUGGGGACAGAAGCAUCCAGGGGUUGAAAUUCCAUCAUCCGUGAGGGGCUGGGCAUCCCCUGAUGCUGUACAAGGAAAGGAAAGCCAGGAAAGCGGUGAAACUGAUUUGGAACAAUUUUGGACUAUCCAGGCAAGCUGGGGGAGGGAGAUGGGAGGAAGAGGGCCGCUCUUGGGUGUGAAUCUACAGGAAUGCAAAUGGUGGAUUCUGAGAGUUUGCACGACUGGAAUGGGGGCAUUCUGAAAUGCAGAGGGGUACGGUCACAUCACAAAGGAGAUGUGAGCUCAUGUGUGGGGUGGGGAGGAAAAGGCCCCCUCGGAGGGACACCCGCUAAAGGGAAGGGCUCUUCUCCUGUGACACCAGCAGCACUUCAGCAGGUGUCAGAAUGCUUGGCUGUAGGGAAAGACUGAGCAGCCCUUCAAAGCAGACGGGGUCAGGGUAGAGUCAUACCAUCACAGAGUUGUUUGAGUUGGAAGGGACUUUUAAUGAUCAUCUGGUCCAACUCCCCUGCAAUGCACAAGGACACCUACAGCUCGAUCAAGGCAGGACACAAAGCUGAAGGCCCAGGAUGAGGAGCUGCCAGCACCAGAGAUGGAAAUAAUAUCAGUGAUUGACCUAAACGUUCAAGGGAUUACACCAAUCCUUUAGCUGAAGCUGCAGAGCCACACAGUGACACAGACCCACGCAAUCCGUCUGCAUCUGGCCGCAGGAAGUAAUUCACAAGACGGCAAAUCUGCCCUUUGGUGCAAUUAGUUUGGCAAAAACAACAACAAACCAAGGGCUGCAAACAGGAUCAUGGACGUGAGGAAACACAAACUGCACUGUGAUCAAUACUCUCUGAAAUAUGACUCUCUGUGGCCCAAAAUGGAGUUUUCGAGCCAGGCAAACCAUUACAGUCUGAUUCUCUCUCUGCCUUUAGAUGGAUACCCUGAAGUAAAACACAGCAGCAAUUGGUCAACUUGUUUCAGGCUUUGAACAGGCAAAUAGUCACUUAUUAUUUUUAAGGACAACUGUGUGCAAAUAAAAAGUCUGGGCAGCCAAACUCUG